rfam:Triticum aestivum genome assembly, contig: Triticum_aestivum_CS42_TGACv1_scaffold_556300_7AL
UACAUACUCCCUCUAUUCAGAAUUACUCGUCCAAGAAAUGAAUGUAUCUAGAUGUAUUUUAGUUGUAGAUACAUCCAUUUUUGUGACAAGUAAUUUCGAACGGAGGGAGUACUAC